rnacentral:rRNA from 2 species
AAAUUGAAGAGUUUGAUCAUGGCUCAGAUUGAACGCUGGCGGCAGGCCUAACACAUGCAAGUCGAACGGUAACAGGAAGCAGCUUGCUGCUUUGCUGACGAGUGGCGGACGGGUGAGUAAUGUCUGGGAAACUGCCUGAUGGAGGGGGAUAACUACUGGAAACGGUGGCUAAUACCGCAUAACGUCGCAAGACCAAAGAGGGGGACCUUCGGGCCUCUUGCCAUCAGAUGUGCCCAGAUGGGAUUAGCUUGUUGGUGAGGUAACGGCUCACCAAGGCGACGAUCCCUAGCUGGUCUGAGAGGAUGACCAGCCACACUGGAACUGAGACACGGUCCAGACUCCUACGGGAGGCAGCAGUGGGGAAUAUUGCACAAUGGGCGCAAGCCUGAUGCAGCCAUGCCGCGUGUAUGAAGAAGGCCUUCGGGUUGUAAAGUACUUUCAGCGGGGAGGAAGGUGUUGUGGUUAAUAACCACAGCAAUUGACGUUACCCGCAGAAGAAGCACCGGCUAACUCCGUGCCAGCAGCCGCGGUAAUACGGAGGAUGCAAGCGUUAAUCGGAAUUACUGGGCGUAAAGCGCACGCAGGCGGUCUGUCAAGUCGGAUGUGAAAUCCCCGGGCUCAACCUGGGAACUGCAUUCGAAACUGGCAGGCUUGAGUCUUGUAGAGGGGGGUAGAAUUCCAGGUGUAGCGGUGAAAUGCGUAGAGAUCUGGAGGAAUACCGGUGGCGAAGGCGGCCCCCUGGACAAAGACUGACGCUCAGGUGCGAAAGCGUGGGGAGCAAACAGGAUUAGAUACCCUGGUAGUCCACGCCGUAAACGAUGUCUACUUGGAGGUUGUGCCCUUGAGGCGUGGCUUCCGGAGCUAACGCGUUAAGUAGACCGCCUGGGGAGUACGGCCGCAAGGUUAAAACUCAAAUGAAUUGACGGGGGCCCGCACAAGCGGUGGAGCAUGUGGUUUAAUUCGAUGCAACGCGAAGAACCUUACCUGGUCUUGACAUCCACGGAACUUUCCAGAGAUGGAUU